AUACGUAGGGGGCAAGCGUUAUCCGGAUUUACUGGGUGUAAAGGGAGUGUAGGUGGUCAUGCAAGUCAGAUGUGAAAUUCCGGGGCUCAACCCCGGACUGCAUUUGAAACUGCGUGACUGGAGUGCAGGAGAGGUAAGCGGAAUUCCUAGUGGAGCGGUGGAAUGCGUAGAUAUUAGGAGGAACACCAGUGGCGAAGGCGGCUUACUGGACUGUAACUGACACUGAGGCUCGAAAGCGUGGGGAGCAAACAGGAUUAGAUACCAUGGUAGUCCACGCCGUAAACGAUGAAUACUAGGUGUCGGGGGGCAUCCGCCCCUCGGUGCCGCAGCCAACGCAAUAAGUAUUCCACCUGGGGAGUACGUUCGCAAGAAUGAAACUCAAAUGAAUUGACGGGG
rnacentral:rRNA from 1 species